UGAGUACGAGAUGCUACGGCAUCGAAGCAGUCUAUGUCAUACUUCCAAGAAAAGCUUGCACUGUCAGAAACAGAUAAUGCCUGUACCAUAACCGACACAGGUGGGUAGGUAGAGUAUACUAAGGGGCGCGAGAUAACUCUCUCUAAGGAACUCGGCAAAAUGACUCCGUAACUUCGGGAGAAGGAGUGCCUUAUUUUUAAGGUUGCAAUAACAAGAUCCAAGCAACUGUUUACCAAAAACACAGGUCUCCGCUAAGUCGUAAGACGAUGUAUGGGGGCUGACGCCUGCCCAGUGCCAGAAGGUUAAAGAAGUCGGUUAGCAUUCGCGAAGCUGGUAACUGAAGCCCUGGUGAACGGCGGCCGUAACGAUAACGGUCCUAAGGUAGCGAAAUUCCUUGUCGGGUAAGUUCCGACCCGCACGAAAGGCGUAAUGAUUUGGAUACUGUCUCGGAGAGGGGCUCGGUGAAAUAGACUUGUCUGUGAAGAUGCGGACUACCUGCACCUGGACAGAAAGACCCUAUGAAGCUUUACUGUAACUUGAAAUUGAAAUUGGACUUUAUUUGCGCAGUAUAGGUGGGAGGCGUUGAAAAUAUUCUUGCGGGAAUAUUGGAGCCAUCAGUGAGAUACCACUCUUGUAAUGUUAGAUUUCUAACUUUAUAUCAUUAUCUGGUUAAAGAACAGUUUCAGGCGGGCAGUUUGACUGGGGCGGUCGCCUCCCAAAUGGUAACGGAGGCGCACAAAGGUUUCCUCUGAACGGGUAGAAAUCGUAUCUAGAGUGUAAAGGCAUAAGGAAGCUUGACUGUGAGACCUACAAGUCGAGCAGGGACGAAAGUCGGUCUUAGUGAUCUGACGGUGCUGAGUGGAAAGGCCGUCACUCAACGGAUAAAAGUUACUCUAGGAUAACUGGCUGAUCUCCCCCAAGAGUUCACAUCGACGGGGAGGUUUGGCACCUCGAUGUCGGCUCAUCGCAUCCUGGGGCGGUAGUACGUCCCAAGGGUUGGGCUGUUCGCCCAUGAAAGCGGUACGCGAGCUGGGUUCAGAACGUCGUGAGACAGUUCGGUCCAUAUCCGGUGUAGGCGUUAGAAUAUUGAGAGGAGCCUUCUUUAGUACGAGAGGACCGAGAAGGACAUACCUCUGGUGUACCAGUUAUCGUGCCAACGGUAAACGCUGGGUAGCUAUGUAUGGAGUGGAUAACCGCUGAAAGCAUCUAAGUGGGAAGCCCACCUCAAGAUAAGUAUUCUCAU
rnacentral:rRNA from 1 species